rnacentral:rRNA from 1 species
AAUAACUUCGGGAAACCGAGGCUAAUACCGCAUAAUACCCACGGGUCAAAGGAGCAAUUCGCUUGAGGAGGGGUCGGCGGCCGGACGUAGUUAGUUAGGUCGGGUACGUAGCCGACCCCAACGACAGUGAUCGGUAUCCGGCCUGAGAGGGCGCGCGGACACACUGGAACUGAAACACGGUCCAGACUCCUACGGGAGGCAGCAGUGGGGAAUUUUGCGCAAUGGGGGAAACCCUGACGCAGCAACGCCGCGUGGAGGAUGAAGUCUCUUGGGACGUAAACUCCUUUCGAUCGGGACGAUUAUGACGGUACCGGAAGAAGAAGCCCCGGCUAACUUCGUG